rnacentral:rRNA from 1 species
AGAGUUUGAUCCUGGCUCAGGAUGAACGCUGGCGGCGUGCCUAACACAUGCAAGUCGAACGGAGUUAUGAUGUGAGCGGGAAGUGCUUGCACAGCCCAAUCUUUUCAUAACUUAGUGGCGGACGGGUGAGUAACGCGUGGGUAACCUGCCCUGUACUGGGGGACAACAGUUGGAAACGACUGCUAAUACCGCAUAAGCGCACGGGAUCGCAUGAUCCUGUGUGAAAAACUCCGGUGGUACAGGAUGGACCCGCGUCUGAUUAGCUGGUUGGUGAGGUAACGGCCCACCAAGGCAACGAUCAGUAGCCGGCCUGAGAGGGUGAACGGCCACAUUGGGACUGAGACACGGCCCAAACUCCUACGGGAGGCAGCAGUGGGGAAUAUUGCACAAUGGGGGAAACCCUGAUGCAGCGACGCCGCGUGAGUGAAGAAGUAUUUCGGUAUGUAAAGCUCUAUCAGCAGGGAAGAAAAUGACGGUACCUGACUAAGAAGCCCCGGCUAACUACGUGCCAGCAGCCGCGGUAAUACGUAGGGGGCAAGCGUUAUCCGGAUUUACUGGGUGUAAAGGGAGCGUAGACGGUUUUGCAAGUCUGAAGUGAAAGCCCGGGGCUUAACCCCGGGACUGCUUUGGAAACUGUAGAACUAGAGUGCAGGAGAGGUAAGUGGAAUUCCUAGUGUAGCGGUGAAAUGCGUAGAUAUUAGGAGGAACACCAGUGGCGAAGGCGGCUUACUGGACUGUAACUGACGUUGAGGCUCGAAAGCGUGGGGAGCAAACAGGAUUAGAUACCCUGGUAGUCCACGCCGUAAACGAUGAUUACUAGGUGUGGGGGGAUUGACCCCUUCCGUGCCAAUUUACAAGGUUUAUGGAACGACAAUCUCGCCUGCAAUAUGCCCUGGACCUGUGACUACCAUCUGGAUGUCAAUACCCAGCAAAAUUAUUGGCUGACCAAUAUCGCAAACCUGGCCGAAUGUAAUGCUCCGCUGUUCAACUACAUCGGAGCUCUGUCGGUUGCAGGUGAAAAAACAGCGGAGAAAGUGUACGGCUGUCCGGGUUGGGUAGCUCAUACCGUUGCUAAUAUAUGGGGGUAUACCGCUCCGGGAAGCAGUGUCAACUGGGGAUUAUUUCCGACAGCCAGUACUU